rnacentral:rRNA from 1 species
AUUGAACGCUGGCGGCAGGCCUAACACAUGCAAGUCGAACGAGUGGCGGACGGGUGAGUAAUGUCUGGGAAACUGCCUGAUGGAGGGGGAUAACUACUGGAAACGGUAGCUAAUACCGCAUACCAUCGGAUGUGCCCAAAUGGGUGUAGCUAGUAGGUGGGGUAAAGGCUCACCUAGGCGACGAUCCCUAGCUGCUCUGAGAGGAUGACCGCCCACACGGGAACUGAGACACGCUCCAGACUCCUACGGGAGGCAGCAGUGGGGAAUAUUGCAAAAGGGGCGCAAGCCUGAGACAGCCAGCCCGCGUGUAUGAAGAGGGCCUUGGGGUUGUAAAGUACUUUCAGCGGGGAGGCGUUACCCGCAGAAGAAGCAACGGCUAACUCCGUGCCAGCAGCCGCGGUAAUAC